rnacentral:lncRNA from 1 species
AGUGGGCCCCAGCUGUUCCUCAUAGUAUUGCAUAAUACAGCAGGCUAAGUUAACUAUAGAUUAAUGAUUAUGAAAUGUCUUGCUUAACCAUAUAAUUUUUCAAACAUACAAGGGAUUGGACAAAAUGUGGUUCACUGAGGUAACAAGAUGACUAUUUUCAGGAGUGGAAAAGGCUUAAGAGGACUGACGGGUGAUGGCUCACUGCUGGAAGCAUUUCUCUAUUUUCAUUACCAAGCAACAGUGCAAGAAGCCAACAGUAUCAUUUGAGGAUUAUCAUGCUCUCUUCUGAAGCUGAGGGUAUUGCAAGACUGUAUAAAACUGAGGUCUCCUACGUCAUCUGAACUCCUGCUGCUGCUCUACAAACUCGACAACAGUUGAGCAACAAGGUAAAUGGUAAAGAAUGAGGACCUCAUCCUACCUCCACUGACCUCAGUGGCUAAGCCGCCGGAGACUUGAGUGGGGAGGCAAGGUUAUGCUCUGUGUGAAGGAAAUAUGCCCUGUUGGAUGCUGCUGUACUAAGAGGCUUAUCUAUAAAGUUUCAUUAGAGCUCAAGGUCCUUUGCAGUCCCUGAUCAUCAUAAAGGGAUAGCAUGAGAAAAGGAAAUUAUAAAAGCAAGUGAGGGUCCAGUGUUUUGGUUUUGGAUCAGUCAAAAAUAAUACAUUCAGAAAAGAUAAAUUACCUUUUGGAGAUUACUAAGGAAAAAUUCAUAGGGUACUAAGGGUACAGAGACAUAACGCUGUUUAAAGUAAAGUAGAUCUGGUGAGACUUCGGAUUGCUUCAAUUGCUCUGCUUCAUCUACUCUUCUAGAAAUUUAGUGUCUGUAAAAGUUGUAUUCAUUUUUCAAACUACAUGCAAACUAGAAUAAUGUAUAAACUCCUAUAAAUUAGGUCAGGAAAUGUCAAUAGAAAUUCCAAUUGCAGGCUAUAGAUCACAGAAACCCAGAGAUGCUUCUGUUGCCCUAAAAUGCAAGAAAGCCUAGAUUUGAUCUGUAACAAAAUGAAAUCAGGUGCAGAUUCAUUUUUUCCUCUUUUCCCUAGAAGUAAAGCAGUCUGCAUGAGUUUUGAUGAGGUAUAGUCCAAACAUUGUUUUCUUUUCAUGUGAUUCUGAAUAUUCAAAGAUUGAUAAACAAUGUAGAAUGAGAAACAGUCAACAAUAUUAAGCAACCCACAUUAAAGAGGGAUAUUUAAAGCUGACAGCAUAGAUUGGCAGUUUAUUUUCUCCUAAGUUACUAAAAUACCAAUAAGAAAACCAUCUUUUAAGUACUUGCUGCUCAACAGAUGAGUAUCAAAAGUUGGGACACAACAGCAUACACUGUUACUCAUCUCUUAUGAUAGUGUGAGCUAUUUAAAGAAACUAAACCAUGGAUUUUCUUCUUGGAUAUGUCCUUGGCUGGAAUUUUAAUCUUAAAUUGAAGACGAUUUAAUUUUUUUGGAGAUGCAACAUAAAAAUAAUUGCCUAUUUUUGUAAAGAAACUUUAAUGCUAAGAAAUAAAGUAGAUCUUGUUCAAAACUGGUGAGUGCUU